AUAUCAUAUCAUCAUCUCACCGAAUUCUACUCGAAUACCGCAUCGAAAUCAGGUCACGUGACGUAUAAGAUGGCGCCAAUCACACGGAGAGUGUAUGCUACAUACUUGAUGUUGGCCAUGCUGUGUGUACAAGCUACAUGCCAGGGUGCAUCAGGAGAUGCCAACGAUGUCGAGUCCUGUACAUCACAAGGAGGAUAUUGUCAGGGGGACGACAUGUGUU